UUUCCAGUUAUCUUGGUAAGAAUAUGAUAUCUAUACUUUCAUCUCAACAAAUUCUUUUUUUUCCGCAGGGGGUCGUGAUGUCUUUCUACGGAAUCGCGGGCUUAUUCAUUAGCUCCUACUUGUGGUGUGCUAUUUUGUGGAAUGUAGGUAGUGGUUAUGACCGAUUCGAUAGAAAAGAGGGAAUCGUGUGCAUUUUUCGUUGGGGAUUCAAGCUAGUUUCAACAAUACCAUUAUAACUGUUACAGACCCACAAGGUCGAGUGGUUUUCUGGUCCUCUGCGGGUACUUGUGGAUUCAAAAGCUCAAGAAAAGCAUCACCCUAUGCUGGUCAAAGAACAGCAGUCGAUGCUAUUCGUACAGUAGGUUUACAACGAGCAGAAGUUAUGGUAAAGGGCGCUGGUAGUGGAAGUAAAUGACUUUCUAUUAUACUAGCAUGGUGUCCGCACAAUCGCGCGGGAAAUAUCUUUAUACAUAUUUAAUAUUUUGAUUUACAUAGACAUAUAUAUUGUUGUAUUAUUUCAAAAGCCUAGCUAAUAUAGUAAAUGAAAGGUGCAUGUGUCAUUUGUAUCUGCUAUUAGAUCGGUAUGAAAAUAAAAUUUGCAUCCCAGAUCAUGAGCAUGAUUAUUGUUAGAACGAAAAUUAGUAAACCGCAUUGCACAUAUACACUCAAGUAAAGUUUGGACAAUGCUCGCUAUAUAGUCAAAGCCAAAAAGAUGUACAUUAGAGAGUACAGAAGCAUAUCAUGUUUUGAAUAUGACACAAUAGUAUUUAUGUGGUUUUAGAUCCUAGUCCAUAAUUUAAAGUUCACAGCACUUAAGUUCAUCAAUGUUUGCAUCGAAAUAAUUGAUCGUUUGAGGUGAUAUUAGUUGUGUAUUUCGAAUAAAAGUCCAGAUCACGUGCGAGACGACGGUCAUUACCAAAGGUGACAAAUCACACGUGGUAUAUAAAUCACAUAUGUUCAAAACAAAAAGUUUGCAAGCUAAAUUGGCCGAUCACUUGAUCGCACCGAUGGGUUAUGUGUACGCCAAGCUAUAUUAGUAGGUGACUUUUUUUAUGAAAAUCAUUGUGCGAGAUUAAUUUUUUUCGCAAUUAUGCUAUCAAUACUUGUAUUUAAGUUUAAAUCGCGAGCUAGUUGUUUGGAUUUGGACUUUGUGGCGAUAUUGGAUUGGUAAAUGAUUUCUCAUUUGAUAAAUUUAGAUCAUGCGUUGUCAUGACGUAGCAUAUUUAUUGCGUAAUGCAUGCAGUACAUUGCGUUUAACACUAUACAAAUAAAUUUUGGGCUUAGUUAACAUUGGGCCUAUGCGGGUCUCAAACACUUUCAUGUUUGUCCCUAACCCAUCAGAUAUAUACCCAAUGGCGGAUCCCGAGUGAGAGAUAUGUUGGUGCAUCCCCUUGCAAACUCCAAUCAUUCCACGUUCUUUCCCGCAAAUACUACUAUAUUUCAAUUUAUUUUCUGUAAUUUAUGUGGGUUGAUCUGAAUCCACAGUCACCAACGUGGAUCCGCCACUGGAUAUACCCACCGUAAAUACAGAUUACGUGGAUCAGUGUGAAGCCUCCCCUCAUAUUGCUUUUAGUAUAUAAAAUAUGAAACAUAGCAAUAAAUAUAGUUAAUUAGUUUAUAAUAAUUGAUUUAAUGAAUGUAUGUAAUCUUGACCACUUCAAUUACGGAACUUGUUGACAAAUCAGAAUUUUCUCUUAUAGUUGUUGAAGUGAGCCUUGCUAAUUCACCAAACAACUGGUAAUUCACGGGUGCAUUUAGUCAAAGCAGUUAAUUGCUCCUGAUACCUGCCUGUAGUAUUUUUUUACAUCAUAAGGGUUCUCCGAAUGUAUGAAAUCUCGACCACUUUAAUUACGGAACUUGUUGACAAAUCAGAAUUUUCUCUUAUAGUUGUUGAAGUGAGCCUUGCUAAUUCACCAAACAACUGGUAAUAUUCUAAUUCGCGGAUGCAGUUAGUCAAAGUAGUUAAUUGCUCCUGAUACCUGAAUGUAGUUUUUUUUACAUCAUAAGGGUUCUCCGAAUGUAUGAAAUCUAGACCACUUUAAUUACGGAACUUGUUGACAAAUCAAAAUUUUCUCUUAUAGUUGUUGAAGUGAGCCUCGCUAAUUCACCAAACAACCGGUAAUAUUCUAAUUCGUGGGUGCAGUUAGUCAAAGUAGUUAAUUGCUCCUCAGCAUGCCUGUAGUUUUUUUUUUACAUCACAAGGGUUCUCCCAAUGCUUCCAGGUGAACCGUAUCUGGCCAACUGAGGAGCAUCAAGGCACCAUCUGAGACGUGCUGGGAGUGCCAAACCUUCCCGUAACCAUAACGCGAUCUACUCCUACGGUUCUAGCCACACACCUGUCCAUUUUUAUUUUUUUAUUUCUCUGCCGACCAGAGUAAUCUCUGCCUAAUCUUCUGGCACAUCUCUCCCAUCUCUCUCCUCUCUCUCAUCUCUCUCCCCUCUCGCAGUCCUCUCUCCCAUCUCUGCCGUGGGCCGACCCCGCAGCGCCGCUGCCCGCUAUCCAAGCCGCCGGGCGCCCCCCUACCCGUCGUCGCGCGCCUCGUCCUGCCGCCGCGCGGCGACGCCCCCUCUGCGCCCGUCCCUGCGGCCCCGCGCCGACCCCGCCGCGCGCCCGUCCCCGCGGCCCCGCGCCUAUUGCGCCGCUGCCCCCCGUUCAAACCGCCGCGCGCCCCCAUCCCCGCCACCGUGCGCCUCGUCCCGCCGUCCAAGCCGCCGCGCGUCCUCUCCCCGCCGCCACGCGCCUCGUCCCUAGGCCUGGCCUCGGCCGCCGUCGCUGCACGCUCCUAGCACCCGUUGCCUCCCACGAAACAGGGUCCUGUCACCAAUUGGUUAGAGGUACUUUGAUUUGUAGCUUCCGUGGCUAGAUUUCUAUUGAUUUGUGGCUUGAUUUCAGGUAUUUUGAUUUUCUAUUGAUUUGUACCUUCUGUUUUCUAUUGAUUUGCAGCUAGAGUAGAUCAAAGUUUCCUUUCCUAGACAUAUUGACUUUUUUUUUCUUCCUAUCAUGAUCUUGUUUUGAGUCCGAAGGUGUAUUUCUUCUUUUUCUGUGAUGUACCACUGGGUUAUAUUGUACCAUUGGGUUAGCGUCAGUGUGAUUGAGGAGGUACUUAUCGUGUGUUGUAAUUGUUUCUUCAUAUUUUAGGCAGGGAUCUUAUUUGACAUGCUAAUGUACGCAAUAAGAUUAAUAUGUACCAUGGGUACAUGACGAGGUACUAGGUUUUGACGAUGCUUGUACUAUGAUUUUUGUUUGAUCCACAUAUUAUUGUUUGUUUUUGAUGCUUUAGGCACUGUACUAAUUGUUAAUUUUUGACGAUGCUUAUGUUGUGAUUUUUUUUAUGCAUAUUAAUGUGCAUUUUUAGUGAUGUACAUCAAUUUGAGAAGGUACUUCUCAUGUAUUCAUUUUUGCAUGGAUUGAUGUACAUGGAUUUCAUAUCACAAAUUGAUAAGUUAUUGUCAUGUACUUGACAUUUACCUCGAUGUACAUCAAAUUAAGAAGGUACUUAAAAUUGUUGAGGAUAUAAAAUUGAUGAUAUAUUGUAACUAUCCUAAUGUACUUGACAUGCACCUUGUUGUAUUUGCUAUGUACUAAAAAUUAAUGAGGUACUAUUGUUGAGAAAGUACUUAGUACUUUUGAUUGUUCUCAUACUUAUUAAUGAGUAUUGUAUAUAGGGUACUUAAAUUGAUGAGGUACAUAAAAUUGAUGACGUACUUGAAAUUGAGUAAUUCCGUCACGUUUAAAUUUGAUAAGGUACUUAAAAUUUUAUGUACAAAAGAAACAAAAAUUGACGUACUUGAAAUUGGCUAUUUUUAUUAUCAUAGACGACGAUACAUUUCAUAGAAUUUGUACUAAAAAAUAUUUAUGUACCAUCGUCUAGGGUACAUGUACAUGUCGUACUGUAAUACGUACCAACUAGUCAAAUUAAUACAAAAGAUAUAAGUGGCCCUCUAAAAUUAUUGUACAAAAGAAACACAUAUAUUAGAGAAAAAAUGCUUGGUCUUUACGUGAGACCGUGAGUGACUGAUACAAAAGAAAGAGAAUAAAGAUAAAAAAUUGACUGACACAAAGGAGAGAGAAGGUAACAUGCAAAAAGGUGUGUCCUGACACAAGCAGUGACUUUCAUGUUAAUGACUCUCUCUAAUAUAACACAAAGUAAAUUAAUUUGGUGGCCCCGGGUAAACGAGUGGUUAUGAAGCUACGGGUAGAUCGCGUUAGCGUCACCGCCUCCGCUCUCUGCUGGGAGUAGCGAGAUGUGCAACGUGCACGUGGAGGCGUUGUGGUACCAGCCCAUGAUGUCGCUACUGUUUGCGACCAUCAGCAAGCGGAAUAGAGUUUUGGAACUCAGUGUGGGCAUAUAAACCGAAAAUCAAAUUCCCGAACAGAAACCGAGACCGAAACAAAAUAAACCGAAAAAUUAGGUCGUUAAUUUGGUUCAUUAAGUCAGAAAUCCGAACUUUUCUUGGUUAGUUCGGGUUUAGCUCUCGGUUAACCCAAAAACCGAAAAAAAUAAUACGAAUUGCACAGAAAAAAGGCCCAGGAAGAAGCCGUAUGGCCCAGUUCAGCGAAACCUUCCUGUUCUCGGUAGCUCACCUCAGUUCCCACGUACAACAUCCCGUCCCGAUCGAUUGAAUUCUCCCCGGCCACUCUAUCCGGAUCGAUUCAAUCGAUCGGUUGGAACGGCCAGAUUCGUUCAAAAAUCUUUUGGAACGGCAGGCUGUUUGCUUUAGAUGUGAAACAGGACGUGUGGAGCCCCACGUGCACCUAACCAAAUCUUAGCGUAGAUCUCGUAUCUAACGGCCGAAAAUAAUUGGGAUGAUGUGGAUCAACCUGGUACCCCUCAUAUUGCUUUUAGUAUAUAAUAGAUCUUAGCGUAGAUGUCAUAUCUAACGGACGAAAAUAAUUGGGGUGAUGUGGAUCAACCUAGAGGCUCCCCUCGGUACCUCUCAUAUUGCUUUUAGUAUAUAAUAGAUGUAUCUAGAUGCGUUUUAUGCAUAGAUACAUUCAUAUUUGGGCAAAUUUGAGUCAUUUAAUAUGGGACGGAAGGAGCAGUGAAUUUCAAAAUUUAGCAGUGUCCAGGGAGUGCACCCCAUGUACGAACGUGGGUACGCCUUUGUCCACUCAUCUUGCCCGCAAGGAGAAGAAAUGAGAGUUAGUGCUCCUUUUAUUUGAAUAAAAUUCAUGAGAUUUUUGGAGAAUUUGAAUUCUUAGGGAAAUUUUCUAUGUUGGUGGUUUGAUCACACAAAUAGAAUUCUUGGAAUAUUUUUUACAGAUUCGUUUGCACUCUAUUUUGGAGGAAAAUUUCGUUCAUUCAACCCAUUAGCUAGAAUUGCUUUGCUUUCUUAAGAAAAAAUAGAAUUCCUUUGCUUUUACAUGUGGUGUAGCAAAUGCUCUUUUUUAUGUAGAUUCCUGUAGUUUUUCAAUCAUGUAUGAUUCAAUAGUAUAUGACACUCCAAUCUUAUGUUUUCUUAUUCCCUGUAUUGUAGAAAUUAUGCGAAUCAAAGAAGUCCUUGGGCUAGCUGAUUGAAGCUUUUUUUCCUUCUCCAGUUACUAUACUGCCUCUCCGUUCCUUUUAAAAAAAGAUCUUGUUUCUUUGUACCAAGUCAAACUUUCUAAAAUUUGGCAAAGUUUAUAGAACAAUGUCCUACUAUCUACAAUAUCAAAUAAGUACGUAUGGAGAUAUAUGUUAUCACAGAUUGAAUAGAACUAGUUUAGAGUUAUAGAUGUUGGUAGAUUUUCUUGUAAACUUGGCUAACCUUUAAGAAAUUUGAGUUAGAACAAAGUUAGAACAUCUAAUAACGAACGGAGGAAGUACUCUAUAUAUGUUCCCUUGAACCAAUCAGGUUUGGUGCCUUCAGAACCAGGAUUGCCGGUCAUAGGCCCAAGAAUCAUAAGCUCAAGAAAAAAUUGUAACAUAGGAGGAUGUACCGAGAACUAACAACUGAAGCAAAGAGAAAAUACAAUUUAGUGUUUGUUAGUAAUUAAGGAUCUCUGGAAAAGUUCCGGUGUUAAAUAUACUUUUGGUUCCCAAAUUAUUUUCAUAGUCUACAUUUCCCUAUCUGCAAAUUAUUGUCAUGGUCUACAUUUCCCUAUGCGUCGGACCAGUCUCUCGGAGAUGCUCAUAAGGGUAGAGUGUGCGUGUGUGUGUUCGUAGAGGUGAGUGUGCGUGCGUGCUUGUGAACGUCUGCGUCUGUACCGUGUUUCCUCAAAAAAAAAAAAGUUUGUCACAACAAAGUUAUGCUUGUAUGCGAACUUCUUUAUAAAGGGUACAUAAUAGAGUACAUUAAUAGAGCGGAAACAUUGUUUACAUGCAACCGUCAAACCGCACAUAUAUGUACACUAGCAUAUUAAUCGUGCGUUGACACAAGCUAAAAUAAAAUGCACUGCAUAUUUUCUAUACUAUCUUCUACUAUCAAUCAUAUAAUGUAUAUUUGUUCAACAAGCGAUGUAUUUGAAGUUUGACGGACUGCCAUUAUCAAUUGAUUUUUUUAUAUGAGUAAAGUAAAGACAUUGAACUUGUCUAGAUCAUAGUGCAUUCUUCAGCACAACACGACAGUUUGAAGUUUAAAUUUUGCAGAGGCGUAUAAUGUGCAUUCUUCUCUCUAGUGGUACAAUUAUUUUUUUAACAUGCCGUAUUAUUUUCAGAUGGCAUUGCCAAAAUUUUAAAAGGAUGAUCACUGUCACAUAUAUGCCCUCGUACACGAUAUGGGAAUCUUGCCAACUGUUCUGCUCCCGUUGCCGGCGAGCAAAUGCUAAAAGACUAAAAGUACUGAUUGUAUCCUCGUCUUCAUACGAUUUUUUUGGUGCCCCAGCUCACCAGGGGUUCUCAGCUAUCGCUUUCCACAAGCAGCAAGUUACAUGGAUCAUGCUAUUUGUGACAUUGUGACAGAUUCCAUCCGAUCAAUAUCGAUCCGGCCGCGGCCGCUCUCCAGUGGCAGUGCACAUCAGUCGUCAGCUCCAAGCAUCGCGUCAUUUCUCUCCCCUUCGAUCGUCCGUCCAUGCAAUAUGCUCCAUUCUAAUCUAGAGAGAAAUGGUACCACCAUCCAGGAAACGUAACGGCAGAAGCAGCGACAGCAGCUGCAGCAGCAAAAAGGUCAAAUGGCGACGGCAGCCAGCCAGGGAAGCUUUCCUUUCACGUGAUACCACAUAAAGGUUCGAGAGGCGAAGGGAAUUGUUAGUUGUUACCAUGUCUUGUCCGAAGUUUCCAUGCUCUCACUGCAAACUUACUGCCGUCAAGCCUGUGUCACUUCUUUCAAACUGUUGCUUGCUCUGGAAAUGCUACUACUCUGGACUGUCAAGUGUCAACUACUCAUUGUGUACUGUCUUUUCAUUUCCCUUCACACGUAAUAGUCCAAGAGCAUGCCGUUGCCACAUGCAUGUCCCAUGGAAGGAGGGAUUAUUAGCAUUUGCAAGGAAUCGUUAAUCCGUUCUCUGUGCCUGUCAAGGGACUGUCAAGUGCAGCGAAAUCACAUGAGCGCAGCAAACCCACCUCCUUAAAUUAAUUCACAGUACACCACCAGCCCCACCCUCUUCCCAUGAUGCAUGUUCCAUUGUUCCUCUCCCCCCUCUCUGUGUGUCAUCAUGGACCAGAGCCCUCUGGUGCUACAAAAGAUGGCAUCAUUUUUUGCCUCCCUCUCUUGCUUGUCUGGCUCCUUUCCUUUCUUCUCCUCCCCCAUGCGAGCUGAGAAGUUGGAAGCAAGAGCGCUAGUUAUGUAGAGCAGACAUCACAGCUAAAAAAUAUCUCAACAAAAUUCUCUUUCUCCCCUGAGAUUCCCCCACAAAUCCAGCAAAAGCAACAAGAAUUAUCAAGUUGUUUUUCUUGCUACUUGACUUAUUUUGUGUGCUGCAAACACUCUUUUUUGCAGUUUUUCCUACUACUGGCAAAUCAAAACCAAGAAAUCCAGCUCUUAACAAAUCCAUCGUUGUCGCCCAUUUGGUCCAAUCUGCCAAGUACAAGUUAGAGAGCCAAGAACCACCCUAGCAAGAUCUUGUUCUACUCCAUUUGCACCGCUUCUGUCCCAAUCUUUCCCCCAAGAAGCGGAAGAAGUCUCCAGCCAUGGCGGCGGCGCUGGAGUGCUGGUCGGGCCGACCGAGCACCGAUGAGGAGAUGGUGGAGCAGGUUCUCAUGAAGCCCCACACUCGUUCAGACGGCUCACUCCCCACCUGCGCCGACUCCGCCGGCGCCGGUGAGCCAACUUCGGGUCCGGCGGCGCCCAAGAAGUGGCAGCGGCUGGGGCGCAACUUCGCCGGCGCCAUUGCAGCGUUUAAGAACACGCUCAACCUGGACAACGGUGGUCUCCCCCGCGACCCAUCCCCACGCGCCGGCGGCGAGAAGCCGCCUCUUCUUCUCCGAGGCCUCGCGCAGCUCUACUCCCGUGGCGGCGCUGCCCAGCAGCUGCCCGAGAAGCUCGUUUCUGACCUCCGCCGCCACUUCGACGCUCUUCCCAACAGGUGGCCACUGAAACUACUUCUGUGUUCUAAAUUGUACAGCCUUUAAGAUUUGUACUGGUCUGUUAAAACUGUAGUGCUAAGUCAAGCACAUGAUUUGAUUUAUGUGGAUGUGCUAAAUGGUUGCUGACAAGCAGAAAUCUCGAUUUUGCAGCUAUGCACAGGCAGGAUUUGACAUGAAAGAUGUCCUCUUGCAUGCCCGUCUUGUAGAGCAGGCGGCCGGUGAGGAUCAGCCUGCAGUGAGCAUUGAGGAAGUCCAUGGCAGAGAAAGUGGUGGUGAAGGCACUGUUUUUCAGCUCACUUUUGCGUGCAAUGCGCCACUUUCAUGGCAGUCAAUGUCACCCUCACUUGAUAGCCCUUUUUUUAGUUGCAAGAAGAUCCAGAUCUUUGAGAAGAGAGGAUUGACACUUGGUGUUGUCAUGAUAAUUGUGCAAUCUGGGAAUGAGGAGCUCUUCAAGACCCGGGUUGAGGCGGCACUAAAAUCGGCGACAAAGAAGCAGCGGAAGAACAGUGGUGGUGGUGUGAAGCUCCCCUUUGGGCUUUGUGGCUGCCAGGAAGAAGGAUCACGCAACUUCGAUGAGGAGUCUGUGUUUGAUCCAGAAGAUGGUCAGGUACUUGACAAUGAGCCUACACGCAAACCACAGCUUCCCACUCCCCUACCACAAUCAUCAGUGUUCGUCUCAGUGGAUGAGUGGCAAACCGUCCGAUCUGGGGGCGAGGAGCUUGGCCGCUGGAUUGUGAGCUCUGAAGAGAUUGAAUUUGUUGAUUGGGUUGGCCAAAAUUCGUUCAAGGGAAUUCACAGAGGAAGGAAGGUUUGGGUCAACAAAUUGAGGGGUUGUGACAUGGGAAGUGCUUAUGAUGUUGAAAUCCGUCAGGACUUGUUGCAGUUGAUGAGCUGUGGCCAGAAGAACAUCCUCCAGUUCCAUGGUAUUUGCUUCAAUGAGAGCCAUGGACUCUGCAUAGUAACUAGGAUGAUGGAAGGAGGUUCAGUUCAUGAUAUCAUCAUGCAGAGAAACAAGAGACUGUCACUCCGAGACACGGUCAGGAUUGCUCUUGAUGUUGCUGAUGGUUUGGCAUUUAUGAACAGCUAUGGCAUUGCCUACCGUGAUCUUAAUGCGCAAAGGAUCCUACUAGACAGGCAAGGAAAUGCCUGCCUUGGGGAUAUGGGCAUUGUUACCCCUUGUAAUAAUGCCGGUGAGGUUACUGAGUAUGAGACGUCUGGGUAUCGCUGGCUAGCACCAGAGGUUAGUUUUCUUGACUUUAUUUACUGUGGAAUCUUAAUACUGGCUAGAAGUGCUCUUUCAGAUUGUGAGUUUAGUUUCAAAGUGCUGUUUCAGAUUGUGAGUUUAGUUCCAGCAUACUAGAGGUUCUAGGAGGUAGUUACUCUAUGUUAGCUAGCAGGCAUUUCUUGGAAUUAUUAAACGACCCAUUCUGUAAAUACACAUUAGUAGGAUCGAAGUAUGUGAUGUUCAUGAAUGAUGAAACAUUUUUUUUUCUUAUCAUCCUGUGUAACGUCAAUUCCCAUGUACAAACUGCGACGCAUAGUAAUGCUUGAUUUUACUGUCAACUUGAUAUUCUUCUGUUAUAGAUCUGAGCAGAACAUAAAAUUCCAACAGACUGAAAAAAAAAACUGCUUUGAUCUCGCCAAACUGAAAUUUUUCUGCGGUAAAUCAGCAUGUCGAUUACUAUCUCAUGUCCACUCUGCAGACAGGAGUUGUGGUCCUAAUAUUGUUUCCUUCAUCAUCCUUCGACAGUCAUUCCUAGUUUUUAUGACAUAGUGAACUUGUUCUUACAUGAAGUUACCACCAUGCUGCAUUACAGAUCAUCGCCGGAGAUCCUGAAAGCGUGUCGGAGACCUGCAUGAGCAACGUCUACAGUUACGGAAUGGUCCUGUGGGAGAUGGUCACGGGCGAGGAAGCAUACUCCACGUACUCGCCGGUGCAAGCAGCGGUGGGGAUCGCGGCCUGCGGACUGAGGCCGGAGAUACCAAGAGACUGCCCUCAGUUCCUGAGGUCGCUGAUGACCCGGUGCUGGGACAAUUGCCCUCUGAAGCGCCCUCAGUUCUCAGAGAUCAUAUCCACCCUGCAAAGGCAGGUCAUCAGAUAGUUUUUUCUUUUCUUUUCAUCACCAUUGUGCUAUAUAUGUUUGCCAUGUGUUUGGCUGCUGAUUGCCAAAUCAUGCAGGAAACUGCAUGUGAGAAAAAGUAUAAUAUAUGUGCAAAGGCUUGAUAUAUAUACAUAUUGCUAGCUGCAUAUCACACUAUCCUGUUGCUUGAGGUGGUCCAGUCAUAAGUCACUAUGAAAAAUGAGAGAGCAUCAAGGAUUUAUAAUAGAAGGAUCUGCAGGACGAAGGACAGUUGUUUUUACCUGCCCUGUCCUCUACCACAACCUAACUGUACAGUUCAAUAUAUUUAAACGAGCAAUGCAAUGCUUCUGGGACACUUGGAUGCAGAUUGCCAUUCUGCUAUAAACAAGGCUGGAUCUGCCGGGGGGGGUCAAGAUAUGUUGAUAGCUCUUGAGAUCCUUCGUUGUUUGACCCGCUCAAGAUUGCGACUGCCGACUGGUAAUGUGGGCCAAAAUUUUAACACUAUCGUUUCAACAACAUCUGCUGCUUCGGCUCUGGCCCCAUGACCACGAGGCCAUGGCUUUGUUGGAGAUCCUCACCAGGUUGUGUAUAUGGUUGUCUACGUGGCAUUUAGACGACCAAAGGACAAAUUAAGGCUCUAACUGCUUGUGUACAAGGUUGUUUAAAUUUAGACAUUGUCUAAAUUUUUCUCCACAAUGUUAUAUAGACGAUCCAAGCACAAUGUCCAAAUGCUCACUAGAGAUGAUUUAGCUAUGGAGACGAGAGAGAAUAUAGACAAGUUGCAUAUAGACAAGCCGCUGGAGAAUUGUAAAAUCGUAAAUGAAACUUUUUUUAGACCGUGAUCUAAAUGAAGAUAUAGACAAACAAAUAUACACGACUUGCUGAGGAUGCUCUUGGCGUGCCCAUGUGCGGAUCCGCCUCCAUGGUCGUCUUUAUCGUUUUGUUUCCAAGGAACAGUUCAUACCUACGACUUUGUCACUCCUGCAUGCUGAUUUCUUUUCUUAUUUUAUCAUCCUGGUUCGGGGGUCCCAAGCACCAGCUCCUUCGAUGAACGUGAUUUGAUUGCUAUGAUAAACGAUGGUACGACGGUGUCUGUCACCUCAAUUAUUUUCGUUGUGUCUUGGAACUGGUUUUUAGAUCUGCGUCCACGCCUCCGGCGACUUCCGCAGGCCAGUUUGGAACGGGGAAUCUGUUGGUCGACUUCAGAUCAAAAUUCAAAACCGAGCGCCACUUCUUCUUAAACAAAAAGAUGCAUUCUGCUCCACUUUAUAAUCCGACAAGCAAAUACGGACUAGUGCAAACAAACUAGAUCAAGCUUAUAUCUAAAGAGGAUCACGAACGCGCAAGAUUAGUAACGAGUUGUCAGCUCACUCGUGAAUAAAUCGAGCUGGACACGACUCCUGAAUCUGUUAAAUAGAAAUUCAGAGAUAAGAUAACUGUCACCGAGCCGCAACGGGGAGACAGAAAGAGGCCUCGUAACAGUGACCGUUGGCGACCGUGAGAUGCGCCUGUCGCCGUCGAUCUACCGGGCCGACGGCUCCGGUAGUCCGGUCCCGCUCACGUACGUAUAGGUACAGCAGGCCACACAGGCCCGACACGGCUUUGCAGGACCGGCAUGGAGCUGAGCAGCUGACACUGUCCAUGGCUCCGCGCCCGGGCACCCCCCGGAUCGCCGCAGGAGCAUCCGAUGAAGCUGCUCUUUCCACAAUUCCAUCGAUGGAAAAAAAGAAGAGUUCAUCUUGAAGAACCUACCAUUAGGCAUUUAUUUAGGCUAGUAUCAUCACUGCACUGUCGUGUACAGCAAACAAUUGAGAAUUGAAGUGCAGAACCGUGACGCGUCCGCUCAGCUCAUCAAGCGUGCAACGCAUGCGCGCGUCUGUCUGUCUGUCGCUGGUGCAGUUGCCUUCGAACUUCGAAUCGUGCCAUGAAUUUUCUCUGCGGGUCCCCUCAACGCUGUCACGCAGCUCUCGCUGAAGACGCAUUAAACGCGCGCCUUUCUUCCCGUCCUUGCUCCUUGGCAAUGGCAUGCAUGCGGCGUGCCUGAUGCCUCCUGCCGUGCGUUGGCGGCAGAAGCAGCAGCGAAUGCAUUCAUCAAAGCGCGCGAUGAAUGAAUGAAUGAAUGGGCAUGGCAGGCUGGUGCAGCAGUACCGCACCCCCUUUACAAAUUACAAGGACGACACAGGCUGGGGGGUCUGAGACAAUUCCGUAGCUACAGCCUACAGAUAGACUGCUCGCAGAACUAAACGCACGGGGGCGGGGCCACUGGAUGUGACAGCACGAUAUGGAUGAGUAAAUUGCACAUUCCACCGUCUUCGAGAGGGUUGCUGAGGAGAACACCCACUCUAUGAUUUUUUUCCGGAAAACAACCACUCGACGUCUAAUCCAUUGCGGUAAGGUUCUAAUCCUCGUUUGCGCGUGUCAAACAACUUUCUGACCGGUGGGACCCAAAGAUCAGAGCCACGCUGGCUGGCCCGGCUUGCCACACUGGAGCCACGUUGCCACACUGGAAAAACCCACUCGCGUACGACGACCUGGAGGCCGCCACGUCCCACUUCGCCGACGCCGCGCUGCUCGGGAGGGGCAGCCAUGGGGCAGUUUACAAGGUAACCUAGCGUCCCGGUCGGCGCGAAGUUGCGGCAUUGCUGGCGGCGUCGGGCACGCGGAGCACCAGGCCGAAGUCGCCGAGGUGCGCGUCGAGGUUGGCGUCGAGGAGGAUGUUGGCGGACUUGACAUCCCGGUGAAUGACGGCGGGCGCGGCGUCGUGGAGCGCUCGCGGCACCUGGCCGUCUGCAGCGCGAGGCGGAUGCGACGGGGCCAACCGGGAGGGCGAGGGUCGGAGUGGAGCAGGUCGUGUGGCCACGGACGAGUCCGCCUUGCAGGAGAGGUACCCCAUUCAAGCCGAGCCGUCAUGUCGGCCGGCCGGGGCAAGGCAAGGCUAGGCGGAGACCCAAAGAUCGCGUGGCUAGCAUCAGCGUGACUCUGAUCUGUGGGUUCCACCGGUCAGAACGCUGUUUAAACACGCGCGUACGAGGAUUAGGACCUUAGUGCAACAGAUUAGACGCCGAGUGAGUGUUUUCUGCAAAAAAAUCAUCAAGUGGAUGUUCUCCGCAACAACCCUCCCAAAGAUGAGUGGAGUGUGCAAUUACCUCUCUACCGAUAGACAGACGGACGUGCCCACAAAACGAUAAGGAACAAAAACAAAAGGAACGCAAUCAAAACAGAAACUGAUCGUUGCCUCUUUCCUACAAGUUGGAUUUCCUGUCGAAAUGGAUUUGAGAGGCAUCCCUGGGUUCCAAACGGUAGAGGUAAAAAACAUAGGAAGCCAAUGCUUUGAUCCAAGCAGGGCCAGACAGACACAGUGUUGAAAAGAAAGAAGCAUCAUCAAUUCAUCAUCUUAGGACUGCACUCGAGUCAACUUCAGCAUCCAACUCAAAACAGUGAUGUUGAUUGGUUAAACUUUUGAACGAGAAAGACGAGUAAAUUUGGAUGAACAGCUCAAGGACAUGCUAUUCGCCCAUAAAAAUUGUCUAGGUACAAUAAACAUGGGAGACCAUGAACUUGGUUUGCCGGCUUUUCUCCUUAUUUCUGAAGAAGAUCACUGGGGGUAAAACUCUCUCAAGGGUCUACUCGGAUAUGGGGCAUGCACCCUCGAAAGCUUCCUGCUCCUUGCGACAGAAGUCAAAUUCAUUAGUGUAGUAAUACAUGCAGCCAGCAUAGGCGUCCAUCUCCUUGGGGCACUUUUGGUGAAGAUCUUUCAAGCUGCGAUGGAAAGUGAUUCUUAUGAGAAGUGGGGAAACAGAGCAGGGAUCGUCUUAAUCGAAGCCAUAUCAUUCGGUUAAGCAACAACGAAAAAGCGUCCUACAGUCUACAAAAUACAUGAAACAUGACCAGAUGGUUUCCAAAAUUGAGUUCAGAAAAGGAAAGAAUGACACAGGAAAUAGGAACUGUUAACGAAAAAAAUUCUGCUAGGCUGCCACCCAAAAUGGAUGUCCCUAUAAACCUUCUCAAUGAAAUGCCUGGAACUAGAGUGCAGAAAAAGGUAAACAUUGUGUUGGUAAUAAAAAAAAUCAUGAGAAUGCAUGCGAUCUUGUAAAGUUGAUAAUAUAUUAUGUACUCCCUCCGACCAGUAUUACUUGUCUCAAAUUUGUCCAAAUACGAAUGUAUCUGUAAAAAGUGUCUACAUACAUGUAAUAUUUCGACAAGUAAUUCCGGCCAGAGGGAGUACUAAAAUUAUCUGUCCACGGUAGAAUGGUACUCCCUCCGUUCCAUAAUUCUUGGUAGGUUUAUAACAUUGCAUGCUGUCCCGCAUCUGUAGCUCAGUGCUAAAAAUCUGUGUUUAUGAUAGGUCUAAAAUACUAUUAGGCAAAAAAUCACCUAAUGUAGUACUACUAUCCUUGCCACUUACCCUUGUUUUUACCCAAGAAGCAAAACAACUUAACAUGAAGCAUUAUCUCACCAACUUAAUCCAUUAUGCCACCAGAAGUCUUAAACAUGGAAGAUUGCCAAAAAGAUGAAUACUGAUUGUAACAGCUAUAAGCAAGCACUAAUGACUAUAAGAACACUCAAGUUCGAACUCGAUUACUCCGAUGUCAAGUCAGCCUAGAUCCUUAUGGCAUGGCUGAAGGUUCAAGAAAUACACCAAACUGAAAAAGUAACACAUCUACCUCCAUUUAUUCUCCAAUCACUUUAGUACUAGUACUAGAUCAACAAAACAAUAAUCACUUUAGUACAAGAUCAACAAAACAUACAAAAGUCAGAGAAAGCAAGGAUUCUUCAAUCCCACAUCAUGCUUGUCUACUAGUGGUAACCAUUUCCAGUAGUCAUAAUGGGAGACACAUACAUUACUCGUGAUUACCGAUGAGGUGUUAUUGCCGCCUUAUAAAUUACUCAAUUUUGCAAAACCCACGCUUGUAUAAAUAACUAACGAAGUGCUGUCGGGAAAUUAUGCACUUCAGUGGCUAAUUUAUUCUGAAUAGCUAAAUGCCCGUGCGUUGCUACGGAUAAAACAUAUUAGACUACUCAUGAAUUAAAAAACUUCUAUGUAUUAAUGACACGUGCUAGUAAUUUUAUCUUAGCUUCGAUGGAAAACACCAUCCAUAUCUUAAUUAUUUAACAAUUUAAUUGUUGUGUUAGGAGGUGGCAAGCUUUUUUUUUACGAUAGAAGAGGCAAAGAGGUGACGGACCGCCGCCACCAAUUGCCACUUUUAUAUAAGAGUAAAGAUUAAAAAUUCCACAGCAUAAACACCGGACAUCAUAAAAAAGUAAACAACAGCAUGAAGCGAUUAACAAUCUCAAAUUUGUCUACCUCAUGUAUAUGUGCUAUCAAGAUCAACAUAAUCAUAUGAACAAUACAGGUAAGAGAUAUCACCACUGAUACUCCAUAAAGUACUUCGCCAAAGUAACAGGGGUAUUGCGGCUUACAGGAGUGCACUCCGGGGUCCGCUAUAGUGUUGUCACUGACAAAGACGAUGAAGACACAACAGUGCAUUGCGGAGGAAGAUGACAGUAAGAAGAAGAACUCAGUCAUACGGGUGCUCCCUGAAACCUGAUUAUCCUCAACUCGUGCAGGACAUAAAAGAAGCAAGAAGUCAUAGUGCUGCCUUUCUAGACCCCAUAUAGGGUCACCAGAAUCAGGUUUUUCGAAAGCGCUCAGUAGAUUUCUUGCUACUUCUCAUCUUUGUGCUCCUGUAUGACACGCCGACACCCUGCUGCAUCGACAUUCUUCGUUGGUGUCAACACCAGAGUAUUUGCUAGAACGCACUAGUGUAAGUCACAAUACCCGUGUUACUUUGUUGUAAUCUUUAUCUUUACUGUACAUUAAGUCAUUAAUCUACAGUUGGUGGUGAUGAUGCGUCUUCCUCAUGCAUUCCAAAAGUUAGGCCCUCCAAAUUUAAACUAAUCUUUUGGUUCCAAAAGCUAUGCCACCCAAAUCUAAUGCAAUUAGCACAUCCCUUACUUAUACACAAUUAGCACCAAAAAUUUCAAAACUAGGGCCCAAUAAACAGAAAAAAGAAGUCCCGAUGGAGAAACAUUCCUUCUAUGAAAAACAUUUGUUAGAUUCAAAGUAAAAAAAUUACAAUGAACUACGCAGCAACGCCACUUAGCUAGUACUUGUAAAGUAUCAAGGAUAACGCUCUCUACUCGCUUGCUAGUAGUACUCAUGCGAAGCUUCAAGCUAGUACUCAUGUGAAUAUAUUAUGGUGCGAUCAUACUUUCUUUUAUGUUACUGUUAUGUCUAGAUCAUAUGUUUGCAAAUGCCAAUAUCUGUUUUACAGAAUAAAUUAGUUGUGUGAUGUAGCGGAUAACAACAGGGUGGGCCAAUCAAAUAGAUAUGUCUUCAAGUCUUCGGAGCAUCAUGUAAUCACUAAUAUGCUCAUAUUGGUGACAUUAUUGUUGCUGUAAUAAAAGAAGCAUAUGUAGCGACUUAAUAUCUUUUCGCCCCCUACCACACAAUCACGGGAUGGGUAAACAAAUGAAUCCUUCACCAUGAAAUUGGAGCAUGCAGGGGCAGAGGCAGGAUGGAAACAUAAGGGGGGCCAAGGUAUCUAGGAAACAUUAACAGCACAAUUAAACAAAAAGGACUCAGUCCAAGCGUCUAGGCACGCUGAUUCUUGUAGAGUUCGGCCCAAAAUGCAGCCGUUUGCAAUAUACAUCUUAGUCCUUGACGCGAUUUUCUGCACCCAUCACUGGUCUAAUGCCACGGGACCAACCACAGUUCAGCCUGGUGCACUAACUAGAUUAUCAAUGUAGCUUAGCAAUUGGUCCAGUCUAAUUAUUGAUUUAUUUCUCAUAUCUUCACAUCAGUUAAGCUCCGGUCUAAGUUUAGGCUUCUUCCACUAGAAACAUAUAUAUGUCGACAGGCUUCCAGGGCAGGAAACAAGAGGGAUAGACGGACUCUUGGCUGGAGCAUGAGGGGGGCCCUGGCCCCUGCUGGUCCUCCCCUAGCUCCGCCACUGGGAGCAUGUAAUCACUGACUGCUUAGUUCAGUUAAGUCAAGAUCAACAUGGUUUGAGUUUAAAGUGGGGUGGUUCUUAACAAGCCAGUGUAAGAGGAAUAUCGGAUGUUUAGCUAAGGUGUGUUUAGAUGAUGGCCAAAUUGUACCCAAACAAAAUUUUGGUCAUGGCCCAAAAUUGGUCUUUGUUUUUUGCCAAAUCUAGUUUAUUUUUCUUACCAAUCUUGGCCAACUCUUGGGCAAGCAAAACCAUGACCAAAAUUUUGGCUACCAAAUUUUUUGGUAGGGUAAACUGGGCUAGAACCAACCACACCUUUAAGUUUAUACACUAAAAAGUUGCAGUGGAUGUUGCUCACCGCUUGUAUUCCCAGAAUGGACUCUACUUAAUAGCAGUGGACCGGCAUUGUAAGGUAAAGAGAUACCAAUCACAGCAGGUCUCACCUGGCAAAGGAAGCAGGAAGCCAUCGUAUCUAUAUUUUUGGCUAGAACAAUUGACUUUAGCAUGGCAUAUAAUCGGCCUAUCCCUCUUGAUUAUCUUAGGGACUCUACUAUAUUGUUCAGUGAUAGCUAUUUGGUUAUAAUUGUUCAGGUGCUCAUCUGAAAAUGGGAUGCAAACUUCCUCUAGCAAAUGAAUGAAUCAGAAACAACUCUCAUCUGUCUCGCACGACAAUACAACAGAUAUAGUAAAACAAACAAAUUUAAAAGCUUCCACCUAAAUGUACAAUUCAUAUGUAAGAAAAUAAAUUGAGAAACAUAGGAAAGUCAUAGUCCUUAUUGACUGCAUUGCAGAGAUACUCACUUUUGGGAAAUGAAAUUAUCCUACACAUAUAAACAAGCUACUCCGUAAUUCAUUUUUACAGCUGAGCCAAAAGGCAAAUGAGCUAGCUAGUGAGUGUAGCAUUUCCAGUUCAGCCCUUCUGUAUAAUCUGAUCAGGAAGCUAACACUGCGUGGUGUAUGUGUCAUACUGACUGUCAAAAGAAAUUGGUCAGUCAUUGCACAACUACUUAUCCAUAAUAACUAGUACGCAGUUUAUCGGCCAAGAUGAUGCAAAACCUCAUUCCUGUGUUAAUCCGAAACCACGGUACUCACUACUAAACUAAUACUGAUCAUCCUGCAUAGGCUAAUCGCAGACACAAGUUUUGCUUACUAGUAUCGGCUAACGCUAAAGGGUGAAAACAAUUCAAGGCAGCAGCGACUAAACGUCACAGCACAUCAGCAUUACAGUCCAAACUAACUAAAUUGGGCGUACAUCAGUCACACAGCGCGCACCUAUCCGAACGAAUUAAACGCUCACGAGCAGCACGAUCAAAGUAACAUUCAACGAAUCCGAAACCCCAAAUACAAAGGAGGGGAAGAGAUAAAGCGCUGAUGACGAGGAGGAGGAAGACAUGGGAGGGGCAGGUUUGGCUGGAUUACUCACAGGUUGAAGACGCAGCGCGUGACCUGGCGACCCUUCUCGAGGCACUUCUCGGGAUUGGGGUCCUUCUUCUUGCAGUUGAGGAAGGCCAUGUUCUCCGGCUGGCAGCGCACGGCUAUGUGCUUGGACGCCGCCAUCAGCACCGAUGACGUCGGGAUCGGUUCCCCCGAGGCGUCCACCGGCGUGCUGCUCGCUGACAUCGUUGCGGGCGUAGGGCCUCGAGGGCUUCUAGAAGCUUCUCGCCUCAGAGAUCUGAGAGGAGGGAGGGGGCGAGAUGGAGAGAACAGGAGAACCGGUGGAGAUGGAGAGGGGAGGUUGGGGGCCGGAGGAGGAGCAGCCCCCUCUGUGAGUGCUGUUCGUGGGCUUGAAGUUUGGACUUCGGAGUGUGACUUAUGGGCUCUAUAUAUGGAAUUUGUCUGUAGGCUUUACGUGUUCUGUUGGGCUUUUUAAUUUGUGGCCUGGUAACGAAUGAGCCCGCUCUUACUUUUGCCAUUUUCUCAUUCUAAAAAAAACUUCUGCCAUUUUCUACCACUUUAGACUUGCCAUUUUAUCCGCUUUCACCAUCUCCAAAAAAGAAAAUAUAAUCACCUUUCUAUUUUCAUUUCGAGAGCGUAUGAUGCAUAUCGGUUGAUCCAGAGGAUUGGCACUGGGUCAGAUAACCCAAUAAAGAUGAUCAACUAGAGAAUAUGGAAUCAAAACUACAUCCGAAUUACAUGGUUAUAAUGGAAUGAAUCAAAUGCUUGGUAGACUUAACAAAUUGAAAAUGGAUCGGUAACUAGGAAAUCAUUCUAUUCAUUAAAAGAAAAGUUGUGAUUGCAAUGCAAGUGAAGCUUGGUCUAUCGGGCCCAUCCAUCCUAAAAGCCAACGGCCACGAUGCAGGCCACGAUGCAUCGAAGACGUCCGUCCCACCAUCCCGUCCCGGAGCCUCUCCACCGCAACGGCAAAUCAAGUCCAUCGCCACCACCUUGCUGCCUUGCCGCAAAACCCACGGCGCCAGGCAGCCACUGUCUAUAGAUACCAUUCCACCGGCAUACCGACUUAGCCUCCAAGCCGAAGGAACCUCAGAAUUGACACACCGUCCACAAGGCCGCGAGCGCCGCUCGAACCCUAGCCGCAACUCCGAUUGCCUGCACUGGUGCGGCCCCUACUUCGCCUAUUCGGAUCGGUCCAAUGCUUUGGAUCCAUGUGCUUCGACCGCCAUUCCUGGGGGCUGGGGUUUUAGGGUGUGGGUUUUUGGCGGUUGAUUUGGUUGUGUUACCCGAUGCAAGGGGCUGCGCUAUAUGCUUCCGACCAAGAGAGCAGAGGGCGCUGAGGACAGCGGCGACGCGGCGGUGAAGAAGGCGCGGAUAGGGGAUCCGGUGGCGGAGUGGGGGGGGGGGGGGGGAUGGUUGCAGGGGAACUGGACGGCGGCUGCGGCGGCGAGAGCGGGAGCAGUAACGGGAACGGGGUCAUGGACAUCAAUGAGGACCUACACAGCAGGCAGCUCGCCAUGUACGAGAGGGAGACGAUGCGGCUGCUCUUUGCGUCCAACAUGCUCAUCUUCGGCCUGAACGGGUUUGGUGCCGAUACAGGUGUGCCCCUCCUCCUUUAAUUUCUGAUGAUUUAGACAUUUCGUAUUUUAGUUAGUCCAUUACUAUUGUAACGUUGGCGUUGGCGCUGGCGCUACUGUUGCAGUUAUUUUGCUGCUCUUAUAUAUUUGUUGGCAACAUGAAAUCUGUGAUUACUUUGCUCUAUCCCAUGGUGUGCAAUGCAAUUCUGCAGACAGACUAAGUUGCUGUAUUGAGAAAUAUUUUUUUUGGAUAGUCAUGUGAUGUCUAAUUUGUCUACCAAGCAAACGGAGUGAAAGGCUUAAAUUGCUGACAUAUUCUACUAUGAUUGCCAAAUCUUGUACUUCCUUUGAGUUUCUAGUGGAAUAUAGAGAGAUGUAAAUCAUGUGUGCCCUUUUCUGAUUUUUAUGCAAAUUUAUGGAUAUUUUUUGUUUAGGCCUUGUCCCUUUAUUGUAGGAUACACUGUUGGCUACUUUCACUUACUCUGCCUUGCUGAUUGUUUUGUAGUCCUAUUUUGUAAAUUACAUUUGUAUCUGUUUUGUGAUUGCCACUAGAAAUUUAUGAGAAACCCUGUACACAUAGCUGAUAUGCUACUGGUUUUGCAAACUCUGGCAAGGCAAGUGCUGGACUGCUGGUUGCUUUAGGGCAUGUACAAUGGGGUGACGUCAGCCUUCUCUUAGCGAUGCCACAUAAGAUAAAAUCUGAUGUGGAAGAGAGAGAAAUGAAGAAAAAACACAAGCUUUCUCUUAAUUAAGAGAUGAUCUCUUCACAAGAAUGAUAAGGCAAAGAUAAAGCAAAUUUACCAUUGUACUAGAUUUCACCUUUUCUUAGCAUUUAUUUAGUUAAUUUUAUUCAUCUAAACAUUAAUUCUAAGAUAGAACACUAAGAGAUAACCCAUUGUACAACAUGUUUUGUUGUCUUUUCUAAUUGAUGUGGAAUGUCUAAAAUAAGACAGUCUUAUCAACCAUUGUACAUGCUAGUGAAAUGAGUAGUCCAUGGAUAUUCAGUUACUAGUUUUGACUUAUCCAUUGAUCGGCAUUAUAGAAAGAAAGAGAAAGCUUCAAUUGAAGCUGGCCGCACCGUGGCCCCUAUCUGCCGCCAUAUAUUUGCGCUCACGAAUCUUGAUGCAAACCUUCUGGGAGUAGUCGUCCAGAGCAUAUGCGUCAGACCAUGCCCGACGCACAUGGCCCGCUGCUGCCCCGCGCUCAUAUGGCCGGCGCGCGUCGCCGUGCUUAUGGCCGCCGACUCGAUGUCGUGCCCCGUGCGCUGCCCGAAGUCUCCGGUGAGAAGGAGAUGGAUUAUGGCGUGAAUCUUGAUGUAGGGACAUGUGGAGGGGGCUAGGAGGUGCAAUGCGCUGGGGUUUAGAAAAUCCCCUCUCUUAUGGAAAUCAUAUUUGUGUGUUGAAAUGAUCUAGCCGAACAUGUAUUUUCUGAAGAUUUAGGCCAUGCUCUCUUACAGUUAUUUUUAGAGAGGAAUGAGCACCCAACGAUUCUGAGGAAUCAAACUUGGGAAUUUGAGGUGUACGCACUGCAUCUCACAACCAAGCUAUGUCAUAGCGCUAGCAACAGGACACAAACUCAUGUGUGGAGUCUGGUUAUAUUUGUUCCGAUACACAGUAGUUGCUCCCUCCGUUUUUACUAUACCUGUUGAUUUUAUUGUACCUUUUGUUUCUUAGUUGCUAUACAUCGAUGAAACUGAAAUUUAUUUCAUUCCCCUGCUCCUACCAUUCUUGUAAAGUUGGAGGUUAGGUACCAGAUUGAGUACCAAAUUUGUGGAUUAUAAGUUUGGUAUAAGUAAAUUCUGAUAGAAUAGUUACUCCUACCAUGCUUGUAAAGUUGGAACUUUGGGAGAAGGUUGAGUACCAUAUUUUGGAUUUGAAAUUUUGUAAAAGUGCAUCCUGAUAUUCAGUUAGUCCACAAGCAGAUACACCUUCAGGAAGUUAUAUGUAGUUUUUAUACUUUGACCAGCAAGAUAGGUGGAUUGUAAUUAUCUCCCUUUCUUUCUCCUGCUUUGCCCAGGAAACCAAGUGAUGUACGUAGCAUUUUUCAUGUCUUAUUGGGCAAGUAUUACCUGACCAAUGAGCACGCAUCCUAAUGCAUGCAUGGUUCGCUUAUUGUUAUUAGUAUGGUAUUAGCAUCACUGUAUUACCUUAUAUGCGUAUGUGGAUUGCAUGUUUUUUUAACUAAUAAGUAUCUUGUAUACAACAAAGAAUCUUGCUCUGGCGGGUGUUAAAUCUGUCACUCUACAUGAUCUAAAAAAUGUCGAAAUGUGGGACUUAUCAGGCAACUUUUUUCUAUCUGAGGAUGAUAUUGGGAAGAACAGGGUUGUUGCUUGCGUUGGAAAACUACAAGAACUUAACAACGUUGUACUUAUAUCUGCUCUAAUAGAAGAAUUGACUGAGAAACACCUAUCUAAGUUCCGGGUCUGUUAAUUGUUUGCUGGUUUAUAUUUUGUUACUUACUACUAGUCUACUACCAUUCUUCAAUAAUGUAGUAAACAGUCGAUGUUGAGAAAAUAUUUUUAACGGAAGGAAUGAUAUUAUAUGUUUCUUAUAUUUCUGAGUUAAUUUCUGGUUAGAAAGGUAAUAGGCACAAUCUUCGCUGACCUUUAGCAUAAUCUUUUAUUUUCAUGACCCAUAUGUUGUACAUUUGAUGUGAGUAUGCUAAUGAGUAAUUGUAAUUCCUAAGUCCAGCGUGCUGCCUCUAAUAGGACCAAAUCUAAUUCUUUCUUAGGGCCUAGUAGAAUUCAUUUGUUUCACUAUACGGUGAUAUAUGGAUAGUCUUUCUGUGGUAUACCUACUUGAUCUUGUGAAGUGGGCUAAAUGUGAGCUGUUCAAUUCGUAAGCUUGUAUGGCUAAAGCUCAUCUGAAUAACUAAAGCUACUUAGUUGGUGACCAUCACACACUAAUACACUAGUUGAUAAUGGUGCCAAUUGUUUUGUUGUGGUGUGGUUGGGUUUUAUGAUAAAAUAUCAAAAUAAUUCCCUCUCGACCAACUAUUUUAGGAUAAAUGCUAAUCAUAUUAUUUUUCAUCUCAUUUGCAGGCUGUCGUUUUCACUGACAUAAGUCUAGACAAGGUAGUCGAGUUUAAUGAUUAUUGCCGUAGCCACCGGCCUCCAAUUUUCUUUAUCAAAACAGAAGUCUGCGGUCUUUUUGGUAGUGUGUUUUGUGACUUUGGGCAUGAGUUUACUGUUCUUGAUGUUAAUGGUGAAGACCCUCAUAUUGGUAUAAUUGCAUCCAUCAGCAAUGGUUAUCCUGCAGUGGUUUCAUGUGUUGAUGAUGAGCGUCUUGAAUUCCAAGAUGACGAUCUUGUUGUUUUCACAGAGGUCCAUGGGAUGGCAGAACUUAAUGAUGGCAAGCCUAGGAACAUAAUAGAUGCAGGGCCAUUUUCAUUUUGCAUCGAGGAGGAUACACGUAACUUUGGCACUUAUGCAAAAUGUGGAAUUGUUACACAGGUGAAAGAACCAAUCAUCUUAGAGUUAAAGAGCCUGAGAGAAUCUAUAAAAGAACCAAGAAAUUUCCUUUCGAGUGAUUUCGCAAAUUCCACCGCUUCACUUUGCAUUUCUAGCCUUGGAUAAGUUCAGGAAAGAAUUUGGGCACUUCCCUGUUGCUGGUUCCGACCAGGAUGCUCGAAGAUUUGUGGAGUUCACAGCUUCUAUUAAUGAAGCCACAAUUGAUUAUAAGGAGGAUGGACUCGAUGAGAAACUGUUGAGGCAUUUUGCAAGUGGUUCUAGAGCCGUUCUCAACCCAAUGGCCGCGAUUUUUGGUGGUAUUGUUGGUCAAGAAGUUGUGAAGGCAUGUUCUGGGAAAUUUCGUCCUCAAUACCAGGUGUGUGUCAUGAAUUGUAAAUGGUAAUUAAUAAUCUAUUGGGUUUUGUCUGAACUUUUCCUUUUUGUUGUCAGUUCUUCUAUUUUUGACUCUUUAGAAUCUCUGCCAACCUAUCCACUGGACCCGAAAGAUUUGAAGCCAAUUAAUAGCCGCUAUGAUGCUCAGAUUUUUGUGUUUGGUUCUAAGCUUCAGAAGAAGUUGCGAGACGCCAAUGUUUUUGUUGUAUGGUUUGGUGCUCUUGGAUGUGAAUUCUUGAAAACCCUUGCUUUAAUGGGGGUAUCUUGUGGCCUUAAAGGAAAACUAACUGUAACGGACGAUGAUGUCCUUGAGAAAAGCAACUUGAGCCGACAAUUUCUGUUUCGUGAUUGGAAUAUGAGUAAAUUGCACAAAAUCACAUACCUAGCGGCUCUCGUAACAAAAACCCACAAACCCAAAAACUUUUAACUGAUACCCACAAGUUCAACACUAAUGAGUAAAAAAAAAACCCUGAAAACACAGAUUUCGUCGAGUUAAUGAUUUGGUCCCACGUGUCAUCCUCACGAGCCUGAUUUUUAGAUCAAUACAAGGAAUGAAAACGGCUUGAGCUGAUGAGCCGAGCCGGCUUUGCACGAUUUAAAAAAAACACGCACCUGAUGAAUCAACAAUUCUCAAAUCAAUGAAUCAGAUCAUCAAAUCACAGAUCUCCUCUCAAAAACACCAAAUCCGUGAUCGACAAAUCUCAAGAUGAAUAAAAAAAAUCAAAGCUGAUUGACGAGGAAAAAAAAAGGCUGCUCAUCCAUGGCGGCCGCCGCUGCAAGAACUCCAGUAGCCGCCGCCGUUGCAGCCCUCCAGGCGCUGCCGCAGGCCCGUUGCCGCUGCAGACGCCGCCGCUGCAACCCUCUUGGCGCCGCCGCUCGGGGGGCAAGGUCGGGUCGCGGCCGGGGGAGCCCAGAUCUGGCGGGGUAGCGGCCGGGGAGCCCGGAUCCGGCGUUGUCGUGGCCGGGGAAGGAGGGAGGCGGACGAGCGGAAGCCGAUGCCAUGGACAGGCUGGCCGCGACGCUGCACUUCUUGUCGUGGGACGCUGGUCCGGCUGGCCGCGAUGCAGCGCGCGCCGGAUGGCGGCUAGUCGGAGCGGAGCCCAACGUCGCCGCUGGAGGACCCCAAGGCGCUGCUGCUCCGGUCGCUGCGCUCGCCGCGGACCUGGGAAUCGGUGCCCGUGGGCCUCGUCCUCGUCGUGGAGUCCGCGCUUGUGCCUCAAAUCUCACUGCUGCUCCACACGUCCAAGGGCUGCGGAGGCCGGGGGCACUCGCAGUCGGAGCUGGGGAAGAAGCAACGGGAGUGAGCGAGGCAGAGAAUGGAGGGAGAGAGGAACGAGCCAGCUCGUCCAUGUACGUCCUAGGAGAGUGGGCUCGAGCGGCCAGGAACGAGCUGUGAGGUAAAUAACUGGCUCCUGUGUAUGACACAUGGGCCGUAACCGGUCAGUUUCGGGUUUUGUAUUAUUCACCAGUCUUUAAGUCGUAUCAGUUAAAAAGAAUCUAAAUUCGUGGUUUUUUGUUACAAGAACCGGUGCGUAUGGGUUUUUCUGUAAUUUACUCUUGAAAUAUUGGACAGGCUAAAUCUAGGGUAGCUGCCGCAGCUGCUAGUGCUAUCAACUCUAGCUUGCAUAUUGAUGCUCUUCAGAAUCGUGCCCGUCCAGAUACUGAGCAUGUGUUCAAUGAUGCAUUAUGGGAACGUCUUGAUGUUGUCAUCAACGCACUUGAUAAUGUGGAUGCUAGGAUGUACAUGGACAUGCGAUGUCUGUACUUCCAGAAACCACUCUUGGAAUCUGGAACGUUGGGUGCAAAAUGUAAUACGCAAAUGGUAAUUCCUCACCUUACUGAAAACUAUGGGGCUUCACGAGAUCCUCCCGAGAAACAGGCACCAAUGUGCACAGUCCAUUCUUUUCCGCACAAUAUUGACCAUUGUCUAACAUGGGCCCGCUCAGAAUUUGAGGGUCUGCUAGAGAAAACUCCAAAUGAAAUGAACUCAUUUUUGUCCAAGCCUGCUGAAUAUGUUGCUGCUAUGAGAAAGGCAGGUGAUGCUCAAGCCAGGGAAUUUCUUGAGCGGGCACGUGAAUGCCUUGACAAGGAGCGAUGUGAUAGAUUUGAAGAUUGUAUAACCUGGGCAAGACUGAAGUAUGUUUUUCUUUUAAUCUUCUCCAUGCCCCUUUUUGAGUGAAUUCCAUUUUUUUUAUUUCCUUUCACUUUCUUUUCAUGUUGCUAUUUAAGGUUAAAAUGGUUUCACUUUGAUUCUAUCGUCCAGCAAAUAGGACGCUGUGUUUUGCCUUCGAGAUAGCAUGUAAUAACGUCUUUUAUUCUUUUGUCAGGUUUGAAGAUUACUUCUCUAAUCAUGUGAAGCAACUAACAUUCAUAUUUCCUGAAGAUGCUGCCACUAGCACUGGUGCUCCUUUCUGGUCUGCCCCUAAGCGUUUCCCUCACCCAGUGCAAUUCUCAGCUGUUGAUUCAUCUCAUGUUCAAUUUAUACUGGUUGCUUCCAUAUUGAGAGCGGUGUCAUUUGGGAUCCCCGUACCUGACUGGGCAAAGAAUAUGGGUAAUCUGGCUGAUGCAGCAAGUAAGGUUGCAGUACCUGAAUUUGAGCCAAAGAGUGGGGUUAAGAUUGAGACAGACGAGAAGGCUGCCAACCUCUCCAGUGCCUCAGUUGAUGAUGCUGUUGUUAUCGAAGACCUUUUAACCAAGCUGGAAGCAUGUGCGAAGAAAUUACCUCCAGGAUUCCAAAUGAAACCUAUUCAGUUUGAGAAGGUUAGCCUCUUUUCUUCUGCUUCUUUUUGAAGUGUUGAGGUUAAGGAUUCCUUUUUGUUUCACACUAGAGGCAUCAAAUUAACCAUGCAUGUGGGCUAUCGUGCCAACUAACAAAUUAAUUAUGUUUCUAUCAAUACUAAAAGAAUUGCGGGCAUGGGCUCAGAUUCGAUAGACAAAAGCAUUAACAGGGACUGUGUCGUGCGAUGACACUGCUUUCAACCAUGAAUUGAGUUAUAGAAAUAUUUUUUUUGACCGAAAACUGUAUGAGAGCCUCCGACAAUAUAUAUAUAGAGAGAGAGAUGGAUUUGAUACGCUUAUCCUCCUCGGUGCCCACCAUCGGUACCGUCCAUUGCAUUGGGAUUAUAACUUUUAUUCCCUUUUUAGUUCUUUCUAUAAUUCCAAGAGGAAUGCUAGUUUAUUCAUCCUUUUACACACGUAUGACAACUUUAUGGCAAGGUUCAAAAUGUUUCUCUUUCUAGCAUGUUGAUGUAUUUGAGGCGCGUACAAAAUUCAAAAACAUUGCUUGUUUCGUCUGGGCCAUGGACCACUAGGCCUAGGCCUCGAAUUUGAUGGCACAUGGGUGGCCCAUUUAGGAAUGAGGCAGGGGCUGAAGCGGAAAGGGCAGGGAAAUUUUUUGGCUAGAAUGGUAGUCCAUGUGCAUGUUGUGUGAGUGUGCAGUGGUAUGUUUUUUUUAAGAAAAAAUGGUUCACGUGCCAGCAAAAGAAAUCUUACAUGCAAGUUUGACCAUUGGAUAUUUCAAUGCAUCCUUAUUGUUUAGUGAUAUUUCCAUGCAACUGCUUGCUUCUCUUGCCCACGACAUUUCAUUAAAUUCAUGGAUGGUCAACUCAAAGCAUUUCAAAAUACUCGUACUUUUUUUGGUACGUAGGACCAAUAAGUCGGUACUUUUGACAAACAUGCUUCCGGUGCCUAGGGUCAAAAUACUAGUACCUACCUAUAAUUCUUUGAUGCCUAGAGAUUUUAAAACCAAGUAAACAUGUCGGCACUACUGAUCCAACAAAUCGGUCCUCUGAUGAACAUGCUUCUGGUGCUCCGAUUUAUUUAGUCGGUACCUCAAUAAAAUCAUUUGGAUUAUUUGUUCGGUAAGAGUAAAUUAAAUGACCCAUGACAUAAUUAAAACGUUUGUAUUAAUUAAUGAGUAAAAUCUUGAUACAAAUCUCCGGUGCCCCGAUUUCAUCUAAUCGGUACCUUGAUAAAAUAUGUGAUCGGCACCUCAAUCAAAUUAUUUAGAUUAAUUCAUGGUUCGAAUAGAAGUCUUUGGUACGAGUUAACAUAAAAGCUUAAGCAUGUCAUACUUCUGCCUCUCAAUACACACAACUAUUUCAGUGUUCUGUUACCUAAUAGGCAUGACAAGCAUCCACGCUAUUACCCAAUAGGCAUGUCAAUGCUUCCACUUCUAUUGUCCAAUAGACAUUUCAAAGCAUCUACCUUUUAAAUGUGAAUCAAAGAGAUGCUGUUACAUUUUGAUAUCUGACAAUCUCAUAAUAUAACAAAGUGCCUUCAAGUAACAACUCGCAGCAUUUCUUCGUUGCGGCCAGGAAUCAAGCACAAACACAAAUCCCAGUCUAAGUAUUUUGGACAAAUAAAUUCACCCAGCUCCGCCGGCGUGCUCUUUGCGUCGAGCUCGACCACAUGCAGCUUCAGCAGCGGCAGCACACGAACAGCGGCGGCAACAAACACGGCCUCCAUCGCCAUGGUGACAUUUUUGCUUCCUCUUUCUUCUUACCUUUCAUCCCAGUCCAUGUUGCUGCCAUUACUCUUUACCUCCACGAGAACAAGGCGUCCAGUGCUAGAGCAUUAAGACGAAAAUGGUUAAGAGUUAAGACAGAAACAUUUCUCCCCAGAAAAUUGAAGUAAACGAACAGACAUAUGGUGGCCUCGCUUCAGGGGAGCAAAUCAGCAAACACAUGGACUGCAUAAUAACCAACCAGGUGGCGGAUGUACACCAUCGAAAUCGACCUAAUUGUCAAAAAAAGAGAGGCAAAUGCAAGAAGAACAGCACAAUCCAUAGAAGGUCGGCGGAGCGCCAAUGCCAGAGCUCCCGGAGGCAGACGAACAGAUAUGUUGCCAUCAAGGGCCGAAGGCAGAGGAGGUCUCCUCAGCGGCGCCGGCGCGCGGCGAAGACCUGGAGGCGCCCGAGGUCUCCUAGGCCAGAACCUCGUGCUCCUGGAGGAAGAUGGGGAGCGCCGAGCGCCGUGGCUGCUGCUGUUCUUGAGCACGAGCUGCUGUGGUUGAGCUCCAGCUCGUCGUCCCGGUGAUGGUUGUUGAGGCGGAAGCGAGAAUUAGGUCGGCGAUCUCGUGCAUCUAGGGCCGGCCAGGUAUCGUUGUGGGCCUGGUUGGGUUUAAAACUGUUUUUUGAUUUUUGGCUUAUAAGCCACAAAAACAUCUAAAUAGUUGGUUUUGACUUUGACUUUUUGCUUAUACCAUCAUCUAACAAUAUAUCAAGUCAAAUGUCAAAAGCCAAAACCGAAAGAACAUAAUUUGGUGCUUUUGUGGCUUAUAAGCCAAAAAUUAAAAAGCAGUUUUAAGACCAACCAAACAGGACCUAAAUAUCAAGAGUUGGUACGGGAUACAAAUACAACACGUAGAAAAACUACAUCUAUAUGUACACAUACUAUGUUUAUCAAUUGCAACUUCGAACAGCCAUGGCCACAGGCCUUGUGUGCCUUGAGCUUUACAAGGUUCUGUCUGGUGGCCACACAGUCGAAGACUAUCGCAAUACAUUUGCUAACCUUGCAAUACCGAUGUUCUCCAUGGCCGAACCUGUUCCGCCCAAGGUGAUCAAGCAUCAAGACAUGAGAUGGACCGUGUGGGACCGAUGGUCUAUCCAGGGCAACAUCACUGUUGCAGAACUACUAAAAUGGUUAAGCGACAAGGGUCUGAGUGCUUACAGUGUUUCUUGCGGGACAUCGCUGUUGUAAAAUACCAUGUUCACGAGGCACAAGGAUCGACUGAACAGGAAGAUGGUGGAUGUCGCCCAGGAGGUGGCUAAGGUGGAUGUUCCAGCAUACAGGAGGCAUUUUGAUGUUGUUGUGGCUUGCGAGGAUGAUGACGGGAACGACAUUGACAUUCCUCUUAUCUCCAUUUACUUCCGGUAGGUGCGGUCGUUCAUGUAAAAAUAUACGAUGAAUGUGCAAAGAAUUCUUGCGGAAAGAGAGAAUUGAAACAUUCCUAAGCUCCUCCUUAGUUCCUUCUCUAUAUGCAUUGGUCAUUUUGUGUGGGUGUUUCUGCUCUCGAUCCUGCGUGUUGGCAGGGACAGGGACUGCUCUGUUGUUGCAUACGAACUAUUUGCAGGUGUGCAAAGCUAUCUCUUGGAUGUUCUGAUGAAUGUAUCCGCUUGUUAAUCUAGAGUAGUACUGGAGUUGGAGCUUAGAUCCAUGACAAUCUCAUUCUUUCAACAACAAAAAAGGUCGUUUACUCACCUCACUGUAAUCAUCAGCUUCAGUUCGCACGGUUACUCCAGUAGUCCAGUUUGCGUUCAUGGAAUCCCCGGAGUUAGGUAUCAUGUCACUGUGAUUGGGUUAAGCUGCAGAGUUCAUUGCUGCAUUUAUUUUGUCGAUAUGGCCGGGUGCGGGCAACUCAACAAACCACCAUCUCUUGGCUCCCGGCACAUGCGUUGCAGGAGCCAGGGAGUGCACGCGCAACCGUCCGUUUACUUGGGUCUCACUCGAUCAUCAAUUCAUCACAGAUGCACGAGUAAUGAUCGUACGCACGCAUACAUGCUAGUACAUCACAUGAUACGAACAUGGUGGCCCGUGUCUUCUACUCUAAGUCAGCGGUGCAGCAUCGUGGAACCAAAUAUCCUAGUAGUAGUUAUCAUCGAAAAAAAAUUCCUAGUCGGUAGGUAGCGGCGCCUGCGGGAAAGCCGAUAUCUUUAUGCGAGAGCUGAUCAUUGCCUUCCGUAUCUGUGCACGAUCAUAAUUUAGAGCAAGAAUAAUAGGCGGCCUAUAAGAUAGCCGUAAGAAUUAAAAUAUUAUUUUGAUAUUUAGUUGGAGAAAAGAGAGCAGGAGAGAGAAGAAAAGUGGGCUGUUAACUUAGUAGCCAGCUGCAACACGUGCUUCUAGCACCUUGUGAGACUGUAAUGUGUGACUGUUAUUAAUAAAAUAGUGUUUUUUAUAGCCAAGUUAUUAUACAUGCUAACUAUUAUACUACUUAAAAAGACACGGCAAUACUUACAGCAUCAGCCUAUAGCUAUUAAUCUUUAAUCUUGCCGAGCUCCCGAACUAAAGAAAUUGGCGGGCGAGUUUGUCUCCAGCGCCGUAAAGUAAACUAACAUGCUACCCCAUGACUACUAGAUUCGUCGGUCAAUAAUCAGAUCCAGUACUCAUGGACCAGGUCAUGGACUAACUAAUUAGUCCCUAAAAUUAAUUACCGCAGCGUCUGUCAUCUCUGGCAGUACUAGGAGGCUGAGAUUGUUACCAAUUCUGCAUUUACCUUUUCUGACAAUCAGCCAUCCGAGAGAGAUUAAGAACUCUCCCACUGAAGAUCGGA
rnacentral:lncRNA from 1 species